rnacentral:rRNA from 1 species
UAGGGAAUCUUCCACAAUGGACGAAAGUCUGAUGGAAGCAACGCCGCGUGAGUGAAGAAGGGUUUCGGCUCGUAAAGCUCUGUUGGUAGUGAAGAAAGAUAGAGGUAGUAACUGGCCUUUAUUUGACGGUAAUUACUUAGAAAGUCACGGCUAACUACGUGCC